ensembl:lncRNA NR2F1-AS1 NR2F1 antisense RNA 1
ACGGCCCGGUUCCGCGCGGGCAGUUGGCGCCCCCUCGGGUCGGCACAGCAGACCUCUUAGUAAUGGUCCCCAGGGAGUACAGGGACUGAGAAACGGAAAUACUACCAUCCUCCAGCCAAUCUGUUGGGAGGACUGCUUGCAGAGGACUCGUGCUCCAGAUGUUGCACUAGAGGCGCUGCAAGUGUGAGCAGCAGGUAGAUGAAACUCAAGAGAAAAGGUGUGGAUAAAUGAAACUAGCCCAUGAUGAACCUGUUUUCUCCGUGACCACAAUAUUAACCAGGAUGAAUGGCGGUGGCAGUGGGCCUGCAUCACAGGUUGCAGCAGAUGUUCUCAAUAUUUCUAUUAAAAUUUCCUUAUUUCCAUAUGCAAGAGGAGCCCCAGAGCUGCAUCCUUAUGGUAGCUACCAUGCCGUGAUGUAAGCUGCCAUUCACUGGGGAGCUUUGGCAAUAGAAUUGGCUAGAUCAGGAAGCCUAUGUCAACUAUGGAACAACAACUUGCAGCUCAUCUCUAUUGAUGAUACACUGCCUCUAGGACUGGGACAGAUAGCCACUGAGUACCUGCUUCAAAUCACCCUGCACGUUUUCUCUUUGGAAAGAUAAGCACUGGAGAACCAUCUCGUUACCUUCAGCAGAAAUGGAAACAAAUCAAGACAUUAAGAAUGCCGCAGUGGACAGCAGUUAUGCAAGGUUCAGCAGAGGAAGUUUUCAAGAUGGUGUGCCUCACUAGCCAGAAAUCAGAAAAGAUCGAAGCUAGCCUUUUCAUCUCAGCUGCUCCUUAAAUCAGUGCAACCCCUCCAAAUUAAUGUGAAUUGAAACUUGCAUUGCUUUUCAACUUAAUUGAAUACUUACUAUAUGUGAACCACUGCACAAAAUAGGGGAAGAAGAUGUGGGAGACAAAGAUGUGGAGCCUGUCUUCAAUAAAUUUACAGUUAGUUUCAGGGUACAUUGUUUUUCUUCUGCUGUUAAUUAGGUGUAUCCCCAAGACAAUAAAUACAUGAAUGGAAAAGUAUAUUCUGUGUUUUAAGUCUCUUUAAUAAAAAACAAAACAAAAUCCAAAAAAACUCCUAACAUGGCAACUCAGGACAUUUUAAUCCUUUUUUUUGUUGUUGGGCUUCUGAUAGGAUCCAUUUUAUUGAUUCCAUAAAUAUUUAGUAGACUUUAGACAUAUUAAUACAUUGUAGUUUGAGUUAAUUUGCAUUAAAUUCUGUUUUUUUCCCCUUAGGUAUAGAUUGUCUGUUGGAAAAAUAUAUUGCUUGUGGAUUUCUUGGGGAGUGGGAAGGUGAAUUAUACCUGUUGUCUCUACAGUCCACUACCUUCCACACCCUAGGGCAGUGGUCCCCAACCUUCUUGGCACCAGGGAUCAGUUUCCUGGAAGACAAUUUUUCUGUGGAUGGUGUGGGGAUGGUUUUGGGAUGGAACUGUUCCACCUCAGAUCAUCAGGCAUUAGUUAGGCUCUCAUAACGAGUGCGCAGCCUAGAUCCCUCACAUGCACAGUUCACAGUAGGGUUUGCGCUGCUAUGAGAAUCUAAGGCUGCCACUGAUCUGACAGGAGGCAGAACUCAGGUGGCAAUGCUUACUGGCCCACUGCUCACCUCUUGCUGUGCGGCCUGGUUCCUAAUAGGCCAUGGACCCCCACAGACGGGUACUAGUCUGCAGCCUGUGGACCCCAGCCCUAGGGGCCUGCCAUUCUGAGUGAGUUAUUAGCAUGAAGAAGAGGAAGAUCUGGAUCAAACGUGGGUGAUGGUACUCAGAGACCCAAGAUAGGAUAGGGAUGGAACAAAAUCCAUCUGGGCAACGGCUCUAUGAAAAUUUGGCUAAGUAAUUAUUUCAGUAUUCAUUGUAUUCAUUGUCCUUCGUGUUCCAUAAGUUAAAUGACUGUCUAAUUUUUCCAAAAAUUUAUUUCUGACUUGAGAAUAAGUGUGUCAUGAUUUUCCCAGUGUAAAGACACUGAUAUAACUGUAGAUACCAGACAUUUUAUGUAGUGUCUAUGACACAUUUUAGUAUGUAUGAGCCAACAAUAGACAUGUCUUUGUCUUGAGGAGUGUCCAUCUGAAUUGAAAAUGUGUCAGCUUUUUUUUAACAUCAUCAACAGACUUCUUAAUUAAGCUGCCAAUACAUACUGCCAAUAGCACUGUGUGCUGUCUGAGAAAUGCAUUGUGUAAGUGCUAUUUCCAUCUUAUUAAAUAAACAAUGUUGCUCUGUAUAAACUGGAUUUAAAGUGUUCUUUGAAUGAGGCAUUAUAUUGCUCCAUAAAUAAUGUGAUGUGAAUUCUCAUAUGAUCCCUUUUAACUUAAUUUCUAAAAAAAUAUUAUUUGCUCCUCAGUAAGGAAUAGCUCUAAUUGGACUGGUAACUUUAGUGAUAUGAUUUGUCUGUAACAGGCUGAAUCGCCCCACUCCCAAACUCCUGGUCGUGAUACUGGAUAUUUGUUAUGCCACUUUUAGUUUGCAUGAGGUAUCUUCCAGGAAGUAUUAGUUAUUAACUUGUGUUCUACUAAACUGUAGAUAUUUAUUUCCUGUUCUGGAAGAUUUCUUGGAGUGUCCAUCUGUGCAUUCCUGGUGCCUAGUGUAGUCUUGCUAAUGGAAUAGCACCUUUAUUGGUGCUACUUAGGGGUUGGUAGCUUACAAUCAAUCUACUUGGAACGUAUCCAAAUAAACUGGAU